UGCCCGUGUCUUUUUGUCUCCCUGG
rnacentral:piRNA from 1 species